GUUUUUGGUACUGGGGAUCGAACUCGGGUCCUUGUGCUUGUGAGGCAGGCAGUGGAAACACUGGGCUAAAUCCCUGGCAAAAAAAUAGAGUUUUUACAUUUAAUUUGGCAUUCCCUGAGUCAGCUUCCUUCUCUUUGACUCCCAGCCGUCUUGUUCCAGUAACACCACGGCUCCAGGGUCCUCAUGUCUUUCUCUCCGUACCACGCCAAGCAAAUCUUUCCUCCCUUUUUUUAGCUUUAUUUUUAAUUAAUUGAUUAAUUUUUUGGUACCGGGGAUUGUACAUGGGACCUUGUGCCUGAGAGGCAGGCAGCUGAACCACUGAGCUGAAUCCCCGGCCCCCUCCUCCCUUAUUAUUAAAAGCCAGCAAUGUGUCUCCGUGGCCAACGAGGGAGCGUCACGAGGGCUGUGCGUGUCCCCGUCUCCACCUUUGACUCCACCUCGUUCCUUCAGAUAAGCUUACACAUGGACUUAGUAGGAGAUCAUUUCGGUGGACAUUUCCAGUGCAGAAGAAAGGGCAUCACAUUUAUUUUAAAUCAUGGUGGAUGUACACAGAAUCGUCUGCCUGGCUCUUGUCUUCCCUUUCUCCUGCUUGUGCCACCCUCUCACACCCUCACUGACAGUGGAAACGGUGGGACAUGAAAACCACGGAGCUGUUGUCAGCCACGAUCCCACCACACGGAGAAAACCAGCCACGCCAUGAACAGAAGUGGAGUUCCAGCUUCCGGUCAUGCCCCAUGUCCAGCUGGGUAACCAUUACCCUCAUGGUUUGCUUGUGCAGUCGUCCUUAUAUUCCAGGAGCUGAUUACUUCUCAGUGUUAGGUCAGCAAAUUCUGAUGGGAUUUCUGUCUCUCAACUGAAAAGUCUUCCCUAGCUCCGUGUGUGAUGAUUUCCUAUACUAAAUCCUACCUGAAACCUGUUGACAGUUAUCUCUCCCACUGCCACAUCCUGUAUCUUUUUAUUCCCAACUCCAGCAGAAACCUGCUUAGCCCUGCUUUCUCAAGGAAGCUUUUGUGGUCCACAAUUAUCUUUCCCUUGCUGGAUCACUUAUGCCCCUACUUGAUGAUCCAAUACUUCAUGAUUUACUUAAAUUCAUUGAUUUCUAGUAUUUAUUUCUCUCUUUUGAGCUUCUGAAUUCUUUCAGAGCACAGAUAUUUAUUUACCCAUUUUAUAUCCCAGAAUGUCUAACACUCAGUAAGUGCAAAGCGUGUUUAAAUGGGCUUAAUAAUUGCCCGUUAGAGCAGUUCCACAAACUGUGUCUUUGGUCUUGUAUCUUUGUCCUUUUCACAGUGCUACACAUAUACUGAAGUAUCCCAAAAUUCUUUUUAUGUAAAAAAUGUUUUUCUCAGUAUUGUGUAAAUACUCGUGUAUUAAAUUUAACUGAAAGGUGAUGAAUAGUAUUGAGUAAUUUUCUCUCCCUAUCCUGUAUUUUUAUUUCUCCGCAUUUCUACCUCUAUUUUCCAGCCUCUCAUUAGCACUCAGUUGUCACCUUUUGGCCCACGAUGAUGUUAACCUCCUGUCUUCUCACUUCUUUUUGGCACCUGCAUUUUUUCUCACUUCAGAGGACUUAUUUAGAUGUCCUAAGGAAUUUUUGCUUCCAAACAGGGAUCUUUGUUUUUCUCUCCAGUGCACUGCUCAAGGCCUCAGACAUAGGAAAACACAUUUCUAAAUCCACAUUGCAAAUAAGGCCCUUUAAAUAAUUAGUCCUCAACAGUUAUCAAAUAGAAGUCCUCUGCCACAAAAAGCAUCACACGUGAGGGCAGUUAUUAAGUUUAUUUUCUUGGCAUCGAAACUCGGUGGCUGUCUAAUUGUUAGUGGACAGCUGUACGCCUUGGAAGGACAGAAGCCUGCUAUCUGGAGAACUCAAAUCUAGUGUGGCUGAUCCGACUGACCGAGGGGAUGCAGGGUUCUGGGCUGGGGC
ensembl:lincRNA